rnacentral:rRNA from 1 species
GACGAACGCUGGCGGCGGGCUUAACACAUGCCAGUCGAACGAAGUGGCGAAAGGGGGAGUAAUACGUGGGUAACCUGCCCUCCGUUUAGGGAUACGCCUUGCAAACGGGGUCUAAUACCGCAUUGAAGUGGAGGGGCUCGCGGCCUUGCAGCUUGUGGGUGGGGUGAUGGCCUGCCAAGGAGGUGACGGGUAGCUGGCCUGAGAGGGUGAGCGGCCACAUUGGGACGGAGAUAAGGCCCAGAGUCCUACGGGGGGCAGCAGAGGGGACAAUUGCAGAAUGGGUGAAGGCCUGAUGCAGCGGCGACGAGUGGGGGAUGAAGGCUUUCGGGUUGUAAACCUGUUUCGCAAUCGAACGGGUAGGUGGAGAAGAAGCGCCGGCUAACUACGUGCCAGCAGCCGCGGUAAUAC